GGAAGCAUGUGGUAGUCUGCAGCCCUCCCCGGAUCAGCAGAGGGAGUGGAGCGGUGACCAGGACGGCUUGGAAGAGUGGGGUAACUGGCCGGGUACAAUUUGGGGAGAAAAAGCAGACGUCAGAAGCACUGGUGGACACCUGUUAAUUUUGGAGCUCUGCCAUCAAUGUGUUGUUUUACCCCCUCUUCCUUGUAGAGGUUGACUACAGCUAAUGAUCUGAUGGAGUCCACCCAAACAAGCUGGGAAGCCGGAUGCUAGCGGC